UACGUAGGGUGCAAGCGUUGUCCGGAAUCAUUGGGCGUAAAGAGCGUGUAGGCGGUCCGGUAAGUCUGCUGUGAAAGUCCAGGGCUCAACCCUGGAAAGCCGGUGGAUACUGUCGGGCUAGAGUCCGGAAGGGGCGAGUGGAAUUCCUGGUGUAGCGGUGAAAUGCGCAGAUAUCAGGAGGAACACCAAUGGUGAAGGCAGCUCGCUGGGACGGUACUGACGCUGAGACGCGAAAGCGUGGGGAGCAAACAGG
rnacentral:rRNA from 1 species